rnacentral:rRNA from 1 species
UACGGGAGGCAGCAGUGAGGAAUAUUGGUCAAUGGGCGCGAGCCUGAACCAGCCAAGUAGCGUGCAGGACGACGGCCCUAUGGGUUGUAAACUGCUUUUAUACAGGGAUAAAGUGCGCCACGUGUGGUGUAUUGCAGGUACUGUAUGAAUAAGGACCGGCUAAUUCCGUGCCAGCAGCCGCGGUAAU